AGAGUUUGAUCAUGGCUCAGAUUGAACGCUGGCGGCAGGCCUAACACAUGCAAGUCGAGCGGAUGACGGGAGCUUGCUCCUUGAUUCAGCGGCGGACGGGUGAGUAAUGCCUAGGAAUCUGCCUGGUAGUGGGGGACAACGUUUCGAAAGGAACGCUAAUACCGCAUACGUCCUACGGGAGAAAGCAGGGGACCUUCGGGCCUUGCGCUAUCAGAUGAGCCUAGGUCGGAUUAGCUAGUUGGUGGGGUAAUGGCUCACCAAGGCGACGAUCCGUAACUGGUCUGAGAGGAUGAUCAGUCACACUGGAACUGAGACACGGUCCAGACUCCUACGGGAGGCAGCAGGGGGGAAUAUUGGACAAUGGGCGAAAGCCUGAUCCAGCCAUGCCGCGUGUGUGAAGAAGGUCUUCGGAUUGUAAAGCACUUUAAGUUGGGAGGAAGGGCAGUAAGCUAAUACCUUGCUGUUUUGACGUUACCGACAGAAUAAGCACCGGCUAACUCUGUGCCAGCAGCCGCGGUAAUACAGAGGGUGCAAGCGUUAAUCGGAAUUACUGGGCGUAAAGCGCGCGUAGGUGGUUUGUUAAGUUGGAUGUGAAAGCCCCGGGCUCAACCUGGGAACUGCAUCCAAAACUGGCAAGCUAGAGUACGGUAGAGGGUGGUGGAAUUUCCUGUGUAGCGGUGAAAUGCGUAGAUAUAGGAAGGAACACCAGUGACGAAGGCGACCACCUGGACUGAUACUGACACUGAGGUGCGAAAGCGUGGGGAGCACACAGGAUUAGAUACCCUGGUAGUCCACGCCGUAAACGAUGUCAACUAGCCGUUGGAAUCCUUGAGAUUUUAGUGGCGCAGCUAACGCAUUAAGUUGACCGCCUGGGGAGUACGGCCGCAAGGGUUAAAACUCAAAUGAAUUGACGGGGGCCCGCACAAGCGGUGGAGCAUGUGGUUUAAUUUCGAAGCAACGCGAAGAACCUUACCAGGCCUUGACAUGCAGAGACUUUUCCAGAGAUGGAUUGNGCCUUUCGGAACUCUGACACAGUGCUGCAUGCUGUCGUCAGCUCGUGUCGUGAGAUGU
rnacentral:rRNA from 1 species